rnacentral:misc_RNA from 1 species
GAGACUUCCUGAAGUUAUUGCUUGGAAAUGUUGGAGUUGGUACAUCUGCUUUAUUAGGAAGUGGGAAGGCCAAUGCUGAUGACCAAGGGGUAUCUUCAUCUAGGAUGUCUUAUUCUAGGUUUUUGGAGUAUCUGGACAAGGAUAGAGUGAAGAAAGUAGAUCUAUUUGAAAAUGGAACUAUAGCAAUUGUCGAGGCUGUCUCCCCUGAAUUGGGUAACCGAG